rnacentral:rRNA from 1 species
AUUGAACGCUGGCGGCAUGCCUUACACAUGCAAGUCGAACGGUAACAGGUCUUCGGAUGCUGACGAGUGGCGAACGGGUGAGUAAUACAUCGGAACGUGCCUAGUAGUGGGGGAUAACUACUCGAAAGAGUGGCUAAUACCGCAUGAGAUCUACGGAUGAAAGCAGGGGAUCGCAAGACCUUGUGCUACUAGAGCGGCCGAUGGCAGAUUAGGUAGUUGGUGGGAUAAAAGCUUACCAAGCCGACGAUCUGUAGCUGGGCUGAGAGGACGAUCAGCCACACUGGGACUGAGACACGGCCCAGACUCCUACGGGAGGCAGCAGUGGGGAAUUUUGGACAUUGGGCGAAAGCCUGAUCCAGCAAUGCCGCGUGCAGGAUGAAGGCCUUCGGGUUGUAAACUGCUUUUGUACGGAACGAAAAGCCCCGGGUUAAUACCCUGGGGUCAUGACGGUGCCGUAAGAAUAAGCACCGGCUAACUACGUGCCAGCCGCCGCCGUAA